rnacentral:rRNA from 1 species
CAGCAGCCGCGGGAAUACGAAGGGUGCAAGCGUUAAUCGGAAUUACUGGGCGUAAAGCGUGCGUAGGCGGUGAGUUAAGUCUGCUGUGAAAUCCCCGGGCUCAACCUGGGAAUGGCAGUGGAUACUGGCUCGCUAGAGUGUGUCAGAGGAUGGUGGAAUUCCCGGUGUAGCGGUGAAAUGCGUAGAGAUCGGGAGGAACAUCAGUGGCGAAGGCGGCCAUCUGGGACAACACUGACGCUGAGGCACGAAAGCGUGGGGAGCAAACAGGAUUAGAUACCCGUGUAGUCCCUGUCUCUUAUAC